GACGAACGCUGGCGGCGUGCCUAAUACAUGCAAGUUGAGCGCUGAAGGUUGGUACUUGUACCAACUGGAUGAGCAGCGAACGGGUGAGUAACGCGUGGGGAAUCUGCCUUUGAGCGGGGGACAACAUUUGGAAACGAAUGCUAAUUCCGCAUAAAAACUUUAAACACAAGUUUUAAGUUUGAAAGAUGCAAUUGCAUCACUCAAAGAUGAUCCCGCGUUGUAUUAGCUAGUUGGUGAGGUAAAGGCUCACCAAGGCGAUGAUACAUAGCCGACCUGAGAGGGUGAUCGGCCACAUUGGGACUGAGACACGGCCCAAACUCCUACGGGAGGCAGCAGUAGGGAAUCUUCGGCAAUGGACGAAAGUCUGACCGAGCAACGCCGCGUGAGUGAAGAAGGUUUUCGGAUCGUAAAACUCUGUUGGUAGAGAAGAACGUUGGUGAGAGUGGAAAGCUCAUCAAGUGACGGUAACUACCCAGAAAGGGACGGCUAACUACGUG
rnacentral:rRNA from 1 species